UCGGAAAUUUCGAAAAAUGUAGUGAUAGAACAUUCAAAAGAUGGUUCUGGAAUUGGAGCUGCAUUAUUAGCUGCUGCAAACUCAAAGUAUGAACAUGAUUAUUAAGGAGAAUGCUAAAUUUCAUGUCUUCAAAGGUUUGCUUGAGGAAAAAUUACAUGAGCAUUUGUAAUUUUCUUGUAAUUUAGAAUGUUCUAAGAAGGAUUGAUCAUUGGACUUCUCAUUCUUUAAGUAGAGGCUCUUGUUUGUGAUGCCAUUUUUGUACUCCCAUUAGUGAUGUACGAAGAAGUGAGGAUUCAUAUAGCCAACCCCAAUUUGUUUGGGACCGAGGCAUAGUUGUUGUUGUAUUAUGCAGCAGUGACUUAUUUAUGUGAUAAAAGCAGAUGUAUCAGUAAAUAUAGAACAUCUUGUUUGUUUAUAAUUAUGAAAUAAGCACAUUUCUUUGGUGUUUUAGAAUUUUCUCAGUUUUGUUUCUUAUAUUGGUUAUUUUUAACCAAAAUUUGAUAAAUGACAAGAUCUUGAAAGUUAUAAAUUUUUAUGACAUUCACAGAUCAAAAGUUUAGACAUGAUUCACAGCCAUAUAUGGACUGCAUAGUGCAUCUAUGAGACAAACUCAGAAUGCAAUGGAUGACUUUAAUUCAGUAUUGAAUGAAGAACAUAAACAAACUGGCUCACCUGUACUAGUGCAGAUUGAAUGAAUUUGAUGUCCACUUCUCAGGUGCUAAUUGUGGAACCACAGUUCUCGAGUUGAUUUCGUAGAUGGUGACUCAACUAAUAGUUAUUAUCUCAGAUGACUUUCUGUAGCUACAAUCAACUGUUGGGUAGGACUUAAGUACAGAAAUUACAGUCACACAGAUAAAGAGAUAAGUGAAAGAGUCAAUUACUUGAAGGACAAUAGAAAAGUUAUUAGAUGUAGAUACUUGGUCCAGAAAUUUUGUAACUAGA
rnacentral:lncRNA from 1 species